UAGGGAAUCUUCCACAAUGGACGCAAGUCUGAUGGAGCAACGCCGCGUGAGUGAAGAAGGUUUUCGGACCGUAAAGCUCUGUUGUUGGUGAAGAAGGAUAGAGGUAGUAACUGGCCUUUAUUUGACGGUAAUCAACCAGAAAGUCACGGCUAACUACGUGCCAGCAGCCGCGGUAAUACGUAGGUGGCAAGCGUUGUCCGGAUUUAUUGGGCGUAAAGCGAGCGCAGGCGGAAGAAUAAGUCUGAUGUGAAAGCCCUCGGCUUAACCGAGGAAUUGCAUCGGAAACUGUUUUUCUUGAGUGCAGAAGAGGAGAGUAGAACUCCAUGUGUAGCGGUGGAAUGCGUAGAUAUAUGGAAGAAUACCAGUGGCGAAGGCGGCUCUCUGGUCUGCAACUGACGCUGAGGCUCGAAAGCAUGGUAGCGAACAGGAUUAGAUACCCUUGGUAGUCCAUGCCGUAAACGAUGAGUGCUAAGUG
rnacentral:rRNA from 1 species